CGCGUAGGCGGUGCGGUAAGUCACCUGUGAAACCUCCGGGCUCAACUCGGAGCCUGCAGGCGAAACUGCCGUGCUGGAGUGCGGGAGGGGUGCGUGGAAUUCCCGGUGUAGCAGUGAAAUGCGUAGAGAUCGGGAGGAACACCUGUGGCGAAAGCGGCGCACUGGACCACAACUGACGCUGAGGCGCGAAAGCUAGGGGAGCAAACAGGAUUAGAUACCCUGGUAGUCCUAGCCCUAAACGAUGGAUGCUUGGUGUAGCCGGUACCCAAUCCGGCUGUGCCGCAGCUAACGCGAUAAGCAUCCCGCCUGGGGAGUACGGUCGCAAGGCUGAA
rnacentral:rRNA from 1 species